GGGGAAUUGGCUCAGUUGGUAGAGCGUUGGUCUCAUAUAUUAUGAUCUGGUUAGACAUCAGAGUUAUCCAAAGGUCGUGAGUUCGAGCCUCACAUUCCCCA
rnacentral:tRNA from 1 species